UUGUUAGUUGCCAUCAUUAAGUUGGGCACUCUAGCGAGACUGCCGGUAAUAACCGGAAGGAAGGUGGGGAGUGACGUCAAAUCAUCAUGCCCCUUACUGACCUGGGCUACACACGUGCUACAAUGGUUGGUACAACGAGUUGCGAGUCGGUGACGGCGAGCUAAUCUCUUAAAAGCCAAUCUCAGUUCGGAUUGUAGGCUGCAACUCGCCUACAUGAAGUCGGAAUCGCUAGUAAUCGCGGAUCAGCACGCCGCGGUGAAUACGUUCCCGGGCCUU
rnacentral:rRNA from 1 species